GAUGAAGAACGUAGCAAAAUGCGAUACUUGGUGUGAAUUGCAGAAUCCCGUGAACCAUCGAGUUUUUGAACGCAAGUUGCGCCCGAAGCCAUUAGGCCGAGGGCACGCCUGCCUGGGCGUCACACGUCGUUGCCCCCCCAUCUACUCCUUCGGGAUUGCGGGGGGCGGAUGAUGGCCUCCCGUGCGCCUCGUCGCGCGGUUGGCAUAAAUGCCAAGUCCUCGGCGACGCACGCCACGACAAUCGGUGGUUGCGAAACCUCGGUUGCCCGUCGUGUGCGGUCGUCGCGCAUCGAGGGCUCGAAAAAAUUGUCGGGCUCCGGCUCGGCUUUCAACGCGACCCCAGGUCAGGCGGGGUUACCCGCUGAAUUUAAGCAUAUCAAUAAGCGGAGGA
rnacentral:misc_RNA from 1 species